UACGUAGGUGACGAGCGUUGUCCGGAAUUACUGGGCGUAAAGGGUGCGUAGGUGGUUGUUUAAGUCUGCUGUGAAAGCCCCGGGCUCAACCUGGGAAUGGCAGUGGAUACUGGACAGCUAGAGUGCGGUAGAGGGUAGUGGAAUUCCCGGUGUAGCAGUGAAAUGCGUAGAGAUCGGGAGGAACACCAGUGGCGGAGGCGGCUACCUGGACCAGCACUGACACUGAAGCACGAAAGCGUGGGGAGCAAACAGG
rnacentral:rRNA from 1 species